GCCAAAUCAUUCUUGAAUUCCUGGGUAUAUUCCUGCAAAAACAUGCAAUAAUUAUAAACAAAAUUAUACAUAUUCUACAAUAAUUAUAAACCCAAUGCCCAACCCCAUCACUCCGUCUCCCUGUCAGGUGCACAAAUCAGCAUAAAUUUGUUGUCCUGGUGCACAAACCCUAAGAAUUCAGGGAUCCCUCAGAAAACCUCAUCCCAAUAGCAUGCUGUUUAGAAUUAUUUCCUAUAUUAGACAACCCUUCAGAUAAAUUUUUAUCCAAAAUUUUAAUAAUACACCCUUUCAAUAAUUACGUCAUUUGGCCUGGGAGCCUUGCACUCAUAAAUCGAGAUCCAGGGCUCCAAGAGCAAAAUGUAUGUGUGACGUAAAUAUCGAAAGGGUGUAUUUACAGGUUACCCUUAAGAAUUUGGUUAAAAUUCAGGCAAUCCCUCAGAAAACCUCAUCCCCAAUAGCAUGCUGUUCAGAAUUAUUUCCUAUUUUAGACAACCCUUCGGAUAAAUUUUUAUAAAAAAAUUUGGUAAUACAUCCUUUCAAUAAUUACAUCAUUUGACCUGGGUGCCUUACACUCAUGGAUUGUGAGCUGGGACUCCAAGAGCAAAAAGUAUGUGUGACGUAGUAAUCGAAAGGGUGUAUUUACA